rnacentral:rRNA from 1 species
AUUGAACGCUGGCGGCAUGCUUUACACAUGCAAGUCGAACGGCAGCGCGGGCUUCGGCCUGGUUGCGAGUGGCGAACGGGUGAGUAAUGCAUCGGAACGUGCCCAGUAGUGGGGGAUAGCCCGGCGAAAGCCGGAUUAAUCCCGCAUACGACCUGCGGGUGACAGCGGGGGACCGAAAGGCCUCGCGCCAUUGGAGCGGCCGAUGUCGGAUUAGCUAGUUGGUGGGGUAAAGGCUUACCAAGGCGACGAUCCGUAGCUGGUCUGAGAGGACGACCAGCCACACUGGGACUGAGACACGGCCCAGACUCCUACGGGAGGCAGCAGUGGGGAAUUUUGGACAAUGGGGGCAACCCUGAUCCAGCCAUGCCGCGUGCGGGAAGAAGGCCUUCGGGUUGUAAACCGCUUUUGUUCGGGAAGAAAACCUCUGGGCUAAUACCCCGGGGGGAUGACGGUACCGGAAGAAUAAGCACCGGCUAACUACGUG